CUGUUUCGCCCCUGUGCAAUUAACAUACCACAACAGCGGGAAGGGAAGCUGUUGGCAUAGUUGGAAAAUCGGGCAGCCAUGUAAGUGCCGAGGGGAGUCCCCCCCAAGUUUGGGGGAGCCCCUGGGCCCCGCUGCCCUGGCCCAGCCAGGACUGCGGGAGUUUUUCACCGUUCCCCCCACACACACUGCCAGUGGGGGCAGCGGCACAGCCCCGAGAGGCCGGCCGGGGCUGGAGCUGGGCCCCCGGCGGGCAGGCAUGGCAUUGGAGCAAGAGAGAAACUCCUCAGGAGUUUUCCAGCCGGCGUCACCGCGGGGUGGUGAGGAGCUGGCUGGGCCCUGCAGCAGCCACAGAGUAGCCUGGGACAGGCUGGAGCGGCAGCCGUGCUGCUGGUGCGGCGGCGAUGGCCUGGGGCCGUCUGGCCCUGGCCCGGGCUGAUGAGCCCUUGUGAACAAGCGGCGACAGCAAUGCGCAGACAGCACAGAGCAGAGCGGGCCUAGAAUAUGGCACAGAGCUAAACCGAGCAGGUUUUUCUGGGAAGAGACUCUAAUGAAAUUUCGGGGUAUAUAAAAGACUGCGCAAAAGCUAGAAAAAUCCUGCGACCGGGGGGGGAAGAACAGAUCCAGCACAAAGGAGUCCUUGAACCUUAUCCCCCGGGAGGAACCCCACGGGACAGGAAAAAAAGUCUCAAAAGCUUUAAUUCCUUGACUGUGGCAAAGACCUGGUGAGACGAGAGUUCCCUCGAAACCCAGGAGGAGCUGCUCGACAGAGGCCGAGCAGUCGGUGGGAGUGCAGCCCGACCCCCAAAACCCCGAUCGAGAGAGAGAGACUUUAACUAUCGCUCUGAAAACUUCUCCUGAAAUGAUGUGGGAGGAUCCAGGGGUGGUAGAAAUUGUAUUAAUGAUAGAGUCGAGUCACUGUAUCUGCUUUUUGUGUAGAAAAUCCAGAAAGCUCUCCUAUGGGAAUUUGCUUCCUUUUCAUUUCAGAUUUUUAUUUUCUUUCUUUGAUAUAUUAUUUGUGUACAGUAUGCUAUAAAUAAUAAAACAAAAACUUUGAACUGAUACUGAAA